UCUUCCCCCUUUGAAGCAUGCUGCCCACAGAAUCCCAAGAGCCAUGUGUGUCUUCUUCCGAGGAUCUGGAGAGGAGAAGGUGGCAAGGAAGACCAUGUACAAUAAGAAAUGGACUGGGGGCAUAGGGAUGCCAGACAUCCUUCUGUUCCUGCGAGCAAGGUACACGAGCCAAAUCUGCAAGCUGGUGACCGGUGGAGAGACCAAAACAGCCUAUCUUGUCAGGUAUUUUGCAGGUCACCUCCUGAGACUGUGGGGGAUGUACGCACCAGCUAAUGGGAAAGCGUGGAUCAUAGAGUACCCCUGGUUCUACAGAGUCUUGAAUGAGUUGUGGAGUAAGUGCUGGGCUACAGGAUGAAGGCCCAGCAUCUAUGUCAAGCCACAGGAAGAUACAGAAGCUGGUCAGAGCCAGAGAUAUGCUAUCGACCGUGGAGCUGCUCCCCAGUGAUGACUGCCAGGCCAUGUGGGAGCAGAUCUUCCACAAGGACCUAUGAAAGGACCACAGAGACUUGAAUUGGCUAGUAGCCCACCACGCACUCCCAGGGAGGGCAUGGAGACACAGAGAGGCAAAAGGGACUCAACCCAGCUGCCCCAGGGAAAUCUGCCAAGGCACAACAGAGACUAUCAACCACCUCCUCUGGCUCUGCCCAUACAUCAAGGGGGUGUGGAAAAAGGUAAACUAGUUCUGUGAAGAGGUGACAGGGAUCAGGCUGAUGACAAGGGAGGCAGCGCUGUAUGGACACCUGACUAAACAUUAGGCGACCUCAACAACCCACUUCAACCAGUUUGUGUCCUGUGUCAGGGGCACACUGUGGAAGUCUAGGAACCUCCUGAUAUACAGGCACACAAACCUUGAGGAAACAGACUGUGUUAAAAUGUUUCUGAGUGAACUCCAGUCCUACUCCCAGAAACCGGUGGCAAAGGAUAGAAAAGAUGCAGCCAAUUCCACCUGGCAAAGGGACACUUGGCACAGGCUCUUCAAAGACCCCCCUAGAGGGGGAGUGGACAGUGAUAGCAAAAAGGACA